ACAAGAUGAACAAUAGACUAAUUUCGGAUUCCAUAUUAACAACACAAACACACGGUUACAACAUCAACACUACUACAUGAUUACAAAGAAACAAAAGGAAAGAUAGUUAGACAAAUUGAAGGUAUAAUAUUAACAACCCAAAAGCCUAUUCCACUCUUGGACCUUUAACAUCACACACAUCAAAUACCUAACUCUUCUUUUGGUACAAGAGUGACCCCGAUCUCCCAAGCAUCCAACAUUUUUAAGAUUGAAUCCAACAUGAGCGAUUCCACACUUAAGUUGAUUUCCAUAGUUACAAUUUCGGGUUGGUGGUCUUCUCUCCCUAAUGAAACCCUACAUUAUUCUAUUUAUAGUGUAUUACAAAUAAUAGGUAAAAUGACCCAAAGGCCCCAUAGUGAAGGGGCAACCCUUUAGUAUAUGUAGUGAACUAAUUUGGCCCAUUUAGUGUAUGUAGUGGACUGUUUUGGUGUCUAUUUAGGUGCUCCUUUGCCCUCAGGUCUAAUGUACGCCCUUAUAAGUCCAUCUACGUGAUGGUACUCGUAUCAUCAUCCCUUUCUUGAAAAGGAUUCGACCUCGAAUCCGUACCUUGCAAAAUCAAAGAGAACAAACAAGUACACAUCCCCAUGGCAUGAGGGCUAGGGUUAGCAAAAUAAACAACUAGCACUAUUAUGCCACGGUGGUACACACUUGAAGCACAACCAAGGAUCCUUUGUGUUAAUUAUGAAAAGCUUUUGUACAACAUCACAAACGAAAGGGCUCGGAUGAACAUCAAGAAUUAAGGGACAAAAACCGAGACUAUGCCUCUCAUAUGAUGUAUAUCCAACAACAUCAUGAAUAGGGAGAAUAGGGAAACUACCAUGCAACAAUCCAAUCCAAGGCAAGUAGUUUGCCCAAGAACUCGGCUUCCCUCUACAAAUGAUGUGAAGCGUGCUCCGAAGAGUCCCACAAGAUACUUCAACUUGUCCAACCCCAUGAAGGUGACAAGAAGUUUUUAACAUCCUUGGACCCUUCCACAAAUAAGAAUAAAACUUGGCAUCCUCAAGUUGUGGUUCACAUAACUUAAAUACAAGUGUGUCAAACAUGGAUACACGGAUAUGUGCAAUACCCCAAAGAGACAAUGACAUAUUUGCCCUAUGGUCCUCGAGUAGACACAAACCAUUAUUAACAUCAAAGGGAUCACAAUUCAAGUCGCCAUAUUUGUCAACCACGGGUGGGGUGUCAUGCAAAGGAGUACAAGCAAAAUCAUUUUUCAAAGAUAUGUCAAGCACAUGAUUAAUCCUAUGAGCCAAGCAAACAUUAGAAUCUUUACAACAACAUAGGCUCAACAUCUUCAAAUUCUUCACUCACAUGAGAUUCAUUAAUCACAUCACACAUAUUCUCAAGUGGUGGGAAAGUUUUACACACAAGUUGAUCAACACAAUUUUCACAUAAUGAUGUACUUUCAUUCAACACAAUAUCUUUAACACUAGGUGGACACAAAUCAAUCAUACUAGAAGAGUCGAUUCGGUCAUCUAUAGGAUCAACUAGUGUAUCUACUCGCACAACAUAUACAUCAUCCACAAGUGGUAAGAAAUCAAUAUACUUAUAUGUAGGUAAGCUACUACUCACACUCAAUGGUUUAUUAGUCACAUGUUCAUCAUUCACAUGUACCAAAGUAUAAGAGUUAGCUAUUUUUCCUUGACGUUCAUGAGUAUGUUCAUCUUUACCUCGGUGUGAAAGUCCUUUACAAGUUUGGGAAGAAACUUCCAUCGGGAAGCUCUCACCGCAAGGUGUUUAUGGACCUUAGGUUUUGAAUUUAUUAGGAUAAGUGUGGAUACCAAUUGGCGUAGCCUUUCAACGUGCCCUUUCAUGUCUUCAAUAUUGUCAGUGAUGCGGUUAAACCAUGGUACCUAAAAGAAAAGAAAACAACGAACAACAAAAAAACAAACUUGUUAGCUCAAAAAUGCCUCACCACACUCUCACUCUCAAUUUUUACCUCACAAUUGAUUUCACAAGUGUUGAAAGUCGGCUUGUACUUCGCGAGUGAUUGAGGAUCGAGUCUACUCUUGCCCAGAAUAGAUUUUCGUUUGAGUUGACUCAAAGAAAAUUUAUUUACGGACUUGAACCAACAAGAUACAACGAAUUCACAAAAGAUAAAAGCACACAAAAAACGUAGAUACGAACAAACAGACUCUACAACUAACUUACAAUCUAGUAGGAGAUUACUAGUUUGUUAAUUAGUGUUCGAACCAACAAACGGAACUAGGAAACAAUAAAAUGAAACUAAAAAAUAUGAAAUUUAAGCUUAGAAAUUGUCGGUGAACAGUAAAAAUGUGAUGUGGCAGCCACGUAUUGGUUGCGGUUGUUAUCAAAUUUUAUUUUCUAAUUCAAGUCUUGAUCCAAUUGUAAUUUAGAAUUGGUGGGAAUUGAUUAAGGAGAGAAAACAAGUCUUGAAAUCUUUUUUCAAAUUCAAAAAGCAAGACUUGACUUUUCUCCUCAAGACAUGGUCCUUAAAUCAUGGAAGGUUGUUGAAAAAGUGGUUGUUAAAUUCCUUGUGGUUGGAAUUGGUUGUAAAAGUCUUGAGAGGUCUUAAAUUUUGGAAAUAUGUCUUUCAAGACUAACAAAAUACACUCUCUUUCUUCAACUUCCAAGAUCAAACAUCCACUUUUUCUUCAACAAUAGAUGAAGAUGUGAAGAACACCAAGAACACAUUUUUUUGAAUCUUGAAGUUCAAAGGUUCAAGUUGGGACCCCAAACAUCAACAACACCUUUCCAAGCUUAAAAGUACAACACAAUAACCACCACACACAUUCAAACCUUGAACCAACAACACACCACACGUCCAAACUUUGAAUCCGCAACAACAAUACCAACAACAAUCACAUGGCCAAAGUUUAGGUUCACAAUAACAACAUCAACAAUUAAAGCUCAAAUCUAGAUCUAGACUUCUUUAGUUUUAGAGGUGAAGAAUCUAACACUAGAAACAACAAAACAAAUAAAAUGACUCCUAGAUCUAGACUCAAAACAAGAAAAAUCUCGGCCAAGACACAUCAAGAACACAAUUUUGGCCAAGACACAAAAAUGGACAGAUUCACUUCUUUUUGGAAUUUUUUGAUUUCAACUUUUUUAUUUUGAAUUUUCUAACAAGCAAGCCCAAGAUUGAUCUUGUAGGAACAAGAUCUAGCCUUGCUUUGAUACCAAAUGAUACACGAAAGACAAUAGAAACUCAAAACAAACACCAAAAUUAGUCCACUAGCCAAGAAACCAAGGACCUCUUUUGGUGACCCCUCUAAAAUUCGCUACCAACAAGAAGAAAACAAAGCACAAUGGCGUAAUAACACCAAAACAGUAGAAACACAACAAGAACAAGAUGAACAAUAGACUAAUUUUGGAUUCCACAUUAACAACACAAACACAUGGUUACAACAUCAACACUACUACAUGAUUACAAAGAAACAAAAGGAUAGAUAGUUAGACAAAUUGAAGGUAUAAUAUUAACAACCCAAAAUUCUAUUCCACUCUUGGACCUUUAACAUCACACACAUCAAAUACCUAACUCUUAUGUUGACAUAAGAGUGACCCCGAUCUCCCAAGCAUCCAACAUUUCCAAGAUUGAAUCCAACACGAUCAAUUCCACACUCAAGUUGAUUUCCCUAGUUACAAUUUUGGGUUGGUGGUCUUUUCUCCUUAGAGAGGAGAUAUUUCAAGUGUUAUAAACUCAUAAUAUUCAUUAAAAUCUCCCUAAUGAAAUCCUACAUUAUUCUAUUUAUAGUGUAUUGCAAAUAAUAGGUAAAAUGACCAAAAGGCCCCUUAGUGAACACUACAAGAAAUAACGCCUUUAGUGGCAACAAAAGUCGCGGCAAAAGACAUUUAGUGGCGACUGGGAGGUCGUUGGUUUUACGAUCGUAACUAAAGGUUAUUUGUGGCGACAUAUGAGUCGCCACUGAAUGAAAGAAUUUAGUAGCGACCCCAGGUAGCCACAGAAAAUGACGAGAGGCGACUUCACCUUGCUACAAUAGGCAAUUUCAAUAUAGAGGAAAUACACCUUUAGCGGCAACUUAUAGUCACCACUAAGAUUAAUAUUUUUGAAAAAAAAAAUUAAUACACCUUUAGCGGCAACUUAUAGUCGCCACUAAUAUUAAUAUUUUUGAAAAAAAAUUAAUAUAAAUUUGUUGUACAAUUAUUUCUUAAUACAAAAUUUAAUGUCUUCAGACUUCUAAUCAAUAAUUCUCCAUCAUUUAAAGAACCUUUCCCUAUAACGAACAAAGUAAAUUUUCAUUUCGAUAGCUUGAAAUUGAGAAAGAAAAGAUUUGAUCACAACAAUAGAAAAAAUUCAUGCUAACUAGCAUGUUAAUAUAAAUGUAUUACAAGUUUCUUACUCACAACUACACCGUACACAUGGAUAGACACACCCAAUGUUGCUAGAAUUCCUCAAACAAAAGAUAAACACCAAAGCAGUUUCUUAUCAAAUACUAGGUAGUGAAGGCAUAGGCCGAACGUUGGAGCAUUUUUCUUACUUAAAUGGCAUAUAUAUUUUACAGUUUUUACAUGUAGAAAUUAUAUGGCUGGCAAGUGUUAUCUUGUUUACAUCCAUCACUAUAUUAUUCACCUCAGACAUCUACCAUGCUAUACUAUUUACAUGUUGAAAAUGAUGUUGUUUGUAGCUUCUUAGUGAAACUUAACAAAAAAAAAGAAGCAAGAGACUAUAGACAAAUGAGAUUCUCGACCAAAUUUAGUAAGUCUACUUCUUAACACAUACAAUAAUCUAAUGUAUCUACCAAUGUCACCUAAAUUGAACAUUGCCUUCUACAAAAACAUGCUAAUGAAAAUAUUUAUAAUGUAGAUCCACAUUCUCUCCAUUUCUAGUGUGUUUUAUCAUUUCUCAAAGUCUGCAGGGAGAAACAUUUCACUUUGACCAAGUUGUAGUAACAAUCAAGGUGUAUAAGCAUCACCAAGUUGAAGGGACAAUUAAGGUGUCUAAGCAUCAAGCUACUAAACAUUCCAAGGAGAUAAAUAGAGGACCAACAAACAUCAUCUCUGUUUCUUCCAAGAUUGCAUGUGGUUAAGUAUUUUCAAAAGAAUCCAACCAUUUUAUCUAGCGAAGAUUCACAUAUUUGUAGCUUUAGAAACAUGAAAAGAAACAUCAACAUGGCCAAAAACAUGUGGCCUCAGAUUGUACCUGAUGUUCAGAAAUGAUGCACAAAUAUUUUUUGGUCUUGAGCUCUUAGCAAACGUCAAUAUGAUAAAAUUUGUAAAUUAAGUCAACUUGUAGAAUAUUAAUACUUCCCUGAUACUUCGUUUCAUGGAACACAAAUAAAUUAGUAAUCUGAAGCAAAUUUUUAAUGUGCCCUUGAAUUAGGGAAGUGAAGCAAUUUGUAUUCAGCAAUAUUUUAUAAAAAUAAAUAAGCAAGAAGAAACAACCAUAUUCAACCAUAACAAAGAUGAUGGAAGCCUCAUUAAAUACUCCAGUUCUACUAUGCCAAAACACAUGAAAAGUCAGCAUUGUCAUUAAGAUUAUAUCUAACACAAGUAAAAUAAGCGACAAACCCUGAAAAACUCAUCUCGAUCAAGCAAGCUGGUAGCAGAUAGAGGCAACUGCAAGUGUACAAGUAAAGAAAUAUUGAAGCAUCACGAGGGUAUGAUUUGAAGACAAAAAGCUAUAGGAAAUAGCAAAAUAUUUAGCUAAUCUCGAUAUCAAACCACUCGAUAGAACAGAACAGUCAAAGAAGACUAUCGACUUAGCUAAUCUCAAUUGAAGACCUACAUUAUAAAAAGGAAAAAGGAUUAACAGAAGUAAACAGAGGAGAAUAUUAGACAAACAUGAAAACAAAAAUAGAAGAAGACUAACCAGAAUGGAAAGUAUUAUUCUCAAAUAAACCAUAAGGUGCUGCACUAAACUAUAUCCCAUUCUUUUACUUUAAAUUAUCUCCAUAGUAAAAAUAUCUAGAAGAUAUAAAAAGCUUCUUAACUAAAUAAAUUAGGAACAUUUUGUUUAGCUAAACUACAAUAUCAUGUUAUCCAUGGAAACAUAUCGGAAGACAUCCGAGGAGCUAAAAUAACUCAAUUAUAAUGUUAAUGCUAGCUAACAACCAGCAAAAGUUCCAGGUAAGCUCUGGCGGCACAAUUGAAGAUCAGAAUUCAAAUAUCAAUUUACAUAAAAUCAAUCAAGCUAAAAAAGGAAAAAAUUUCAAUCAAUGGAAUCAAUUAUUCAAAUCAUCAAAGAAGGAAAAAUAUAUGACCAAGCCAUUUAGAGUGAAACCAAAUACGAAAUUGGAUGAAUCAAAAAAUCAAAAUCAACUGUUAUAAUUUCAAAUUUAAUAAUCUAUCAAAUAAAAGAACGAGAAGAAGAUAACAAUGUUAAUUUGGGACAUGAAAUUAAAUUGAGUACAAACCUGGAUGGAUUCACGGAUUUUGCCAGCGAUGAGUGGAAAUUAUGGCGGCGGAGAAGUGGACCAGUGGUGGUCCUUCGGACUGGCAGCUCCUGUUGCUGUUGCCUUUUCCGUCGGUAGAUGGGGAAUCUGACAGGCGCUUGAUCGGUGAUGGAGUUACCCACUUCUCCGGUGGAGGGCGGCGGCUACGUGGAGGGAUGGAGAAGGCGUUGUUUGAGGGCUGUUGGUGGGGCAGGGCUUGGUCGGAGAUGGCUUCAUUUGGGCUCACAAUAAGGGCUGUUGGUGGCGCGCGGCUCGCCGGAGCAUGGGUUUUCUGGUGGUUUUAAAGAGAAAGAGAGAGAGAGAGAAGGGAGAGAGGAGCGGCGCUGGUGUUGGGUGGUUGAUCGGCGGCGGUUCACCGGUGACAGUGAUGCAUCUGUUGUGGUGAGAGAGAGAGUAUGGGGAGGAGAGAGGUGGCUGCUUUGUUGUUGUUGAAAAUUGGAUUAGGUUUUAGGUUUUGUUUAAAGAAGAGAGUGAGAGAUUUGAUCUCAGUCAUUGGAUCAAUUUUGAUCCAAUGGCUGAGAUUAAAAGGGUUUAAAAG
rnacentral:lncRNA from 1 species